AGGGUUCCGUAGCCAAUUGGCAAAUAACGGAACCCUUAUGGAUUCGUCAUGUCUGUCUGUCCGUUCGUAUGUCACAGCCACUUUUUUCCGAAACUAUAAGAACUAUACUGUUGAAACUUGGUAAGUUAAUGUAUUCUGUGAACCGCAUUAAAGUUUUCAAACAAAAAUAGAAAAAAAAAACAAUAAAUUUUGGGGGUCUUCAAAAAUGAUAUUGAGGUUUUUAAUAUCAGUUUUUUUCUAAACUGAAUGGUUUGCGCGAGAGACACUUCCAAAGUGGUAAAAUGUGUUCUCCCCCCUGUAACUUCUAAAAUAAGAGAAUGAUAAAACUAAAAAAAAUAUAUGAUGUACAUUACCAUGCAAACUUCCACCGAAAAUUGGUUUAAACGAGAUCUAGUAAGUAGAUUUUUUUUAAUACGUCAUAAA